rnacentral:rRNA from 1 species
AGCGAACGCUGGCGGCGUGCCUAACACAUGCAAGUCGAACGUGAAAGGGAGCAAUCCCCAGUAAAGUGGCGUACGGGUGAGUAACACGUAGGUAAUCUACCCCAGAAUCUGGAAUAACCGGCCGAAAGGCUGGCUAAUACUGGAUAGAGCGACGGAAUCCGUAAUUGGGUUUUUCGGGAAAGGGAGCCUGUAAAAAGGCCUUCGUUCUGGGAUGAGCCUGCGUCCCAUCAGCUAGUUGGUGAGGUAAAAGCUUACCAAGGCAAUGACGGGUAGCUGGUCUGAGAGGACGAUCAGCCACACUGGAACUGAAACACGGCCCAGACUCCUACGGGAGGCAGCAGUGGGGAAUCUUGCGCAAGGGACGAAAGUCUGACGCAGCAACGCCGCGUGAGUGAAGAAGGCCUUCGGGCUGUAAAGCUCUGUCGAGUGGGACGAAAAUGCUUGGAGUUCACAGCUCCAGGAACUGACGGUACCACUAAAGGAAGCACCGGCUAACUCCGUG